GGGACCCAGCACAGGUGGGUGGGAUCUCCAGGGGAAGGGACCCAGCACAGGUGGGUGGGAUCUCCAGGGGAAGGGACCCAGCACAGGAGGGUGGGUGUUGCUGCCCAGGGAAGACUCCAGACGCUGGAGCGAGCUCCCAGCUCCUCUGGGCAAUCCUCAGGAAAGGCGAGGGGGUCAAACGUGAAGCUGGAGCUCCCUCUGCUGAAGAAACUCGGGCGGUUCGGUAGGGAAAAGGGAAAGCACCGGGCAGGGCUGCAUUAGCAAAGGUAGAUCUGGAAAACGUCCUUUCCCUCUAUUUGCAUGUUAUGUUUCCUCCUAAUGCACUUAUUAAGAGGAAAGUUGGGGUUUAGAUCAAACCUAGAGCAAUUGAAAAGUUCCAAUAGAAUUUUUGUCAUUUUGGCUCUUGGAUAAUCCGAGGUGCUGCCUAGGUAAAGCAGGAUCGUGCUGCAGCUAGACUCCCAAGGGCAGGGGAGCACAGGACCGGGUCUGCACAGCGAUGCAGAGCCUGCCCAUGGGGUGCCUUUUGCUCGCUCUGGGAUCUUCCUUUGGAGGGGCAGCUUUGAAGCCUGACCCUGCUGCCUGCAGGGAGGGAACAGCUCAGCUCAGGGGAGGGAUUGCUCCUGAGAUUUCGGAAAGUGCUGUGCAGAGGAGCACACCCCGCUGGGAAUCAGACCCUGCUGUGCCCGCCCGCCCAUCCAUCCAUCCAUCCAUCCAUCCAUCCAUCCAUCCAUCCAUCCAUCCAUCCAUCCAUCCAUCCAUCCAUCCAUCCAUCCAUCCAUC